UAUAACACCCGAAGUCGGUGGGGUAACCGCAAGGAGCCAGCCGCCGAAGGUGGGAUAGAUGAUUGGGGUGAAGUCGUAACAAGGUAGCCGUAUCGGAAGGUGCGGCUGGAUCACCUCCUUUCUAUGGAGA
rnacentral:rRNA from 1 species